rnacentral:rRNA from 1 species
CUGUGUCCUUCGACGCCGGUUCACCGCCUGUCGGUGCCAACUGGCGUUUUGCGGGACGUCCUGUCGGUGGUGUGUCAGGAAUCUUAGUUGUGCUAUGCUUGCUUAGUGCAGCUCUGGUUUCGGGCCACUUUCAUAAUCCCGCCGCGGUGCUCUUAAUCGAGUGUCGAGGCGGGCCGGCACGUUUACUUUGAACAAAUUAGAGUGCUUCAAGCAGGCUUGUCACGCCUGUAUACUGUGUGCAUGGAAUAAUGGAAUAGGACCUCGGUUCUAUUUUGUUGGUUUCCGGAAUCUGAGGUAAUGAUCAAUGGGGACAGGCGGGGGCAUUCGUAUUGCGACGUUAGAGGUGAAAUUCUUGGAUCGUCGCAAGACGGACCGAAGCGAAAGCAUUUGCCAAGUAUGUUCCCGUCGAUCAAGAACGAAAGUUAGAGGUUCGAAGGCGAUCAGAUACCGCCCUAGUUCUAACCAUAAACAAUGCCUGCCAGCGAUCCGCCGGCGUCCCUCCGAUGACCCGGCGGGCAGCUUCCGGGAAACCAGAGCUUUUGGGUUCCGGGGGAAGUAUGGUUGCAAAGCUGAAACUUAAAGGAAUUGACGGAAGGGCACCACCAGGAGUGGAGCCUGCGGCUUAAUUUGACUCAACACGGGAAAACUCACCAGGCCCGGACACCGGAAGGAUUGACAGAUUGAUAGCUCUUUCUUGAUUCGGUGGGUGGUGGUGCAUGGCCGUUCUUAGUUGGUGGAGCGAUUUGUCUGGUUAAUUCCGAUAACGAACGAGACUCUAGCCUACUAACUAGACGUAUCUGGUAUCAGCAAUCGUGCUACCAGCGAUCAUAUCUCUUCUUAGAGGGACAGGCGGCUUCUAGCCGCACGAGACUGAGCAAUAACAGGUCUGUGAUGCCCUUAGAUGUCCUGGGCCGCACGCGCGCUACACUGAAGGAAUCAGCGUGUCUUCCCUGUCCGAAAGGACCGGGUAACCCGCUGAACCUCCUUCGUGCUUGGGAUUGGGGCUUGCAAUUGUUCCCCAUGAACGAGGAAUUCCCAGUAAGCGCGAGUCAUAAGCUCGCGUUGAUUACGUCCCUGCCCUUUGUACACACCGCCCGUCGCUACUACCGAUUGAAUGAUUUAGUGAGGUCUUCGGACCGGUGCGCGGAGGCGGUUUUCCGCUCCCGAUGUUGUCGGAAAGAUGACCAAACUUGAUCAUU